rnacentral:rRNA from 1 species
GACGAACGCUGUCUGCGUGCUUAACACAUGCAAGUCGAACGGAAAGGCCCUGCUUUUGUGGGGUGCUCGAGUGGCGAACGGGUGAGUAACACGUGAGUAACCUGCCCUUGACUUUGGGAUAACUUCAGGAAACUGGGGCUAAAACCGGAUAGGAGCUCCUGCUGCAUGGUGGGGGUUGGAAAGUUUCGGCGGUUGGGGAUGGACUCGCGGCUUAUCAGCUUGUUGGUGGGGUAGUGGCUUACCAAGGCUUUGACGGGUAGCCGGCCUGAGAGGGUGACCGGCCACAUUGGGACUGAGAUACGGCCCAGACUCCUACGGGAGGCAGCAGUGGGGAAUAUUGCACAAUGGGCGGAAGCCUGAUGCAGCAACGCCGCGUGCGGGAUGACGGCCUUCGGGUUGUAAACCGCUUUCGCCUGUGACGAAGCGUGAGUGACGGUAAUGGGUAAAGAAGCACCGGCUAACUACGUGCCAGCAGCCGCGGUGAUACGUAGGGUGCGAGCGUUGUCCGGAUUUAUUGGGCAUAAAGGGCUCGUAGGUGGUUGAUCGCGUCGGAAGUGUAAUCUUGGGGCUUAACCCUGAGCGUGCUUUCGAUACGGGUUGACUUGAGGAAGGUAGGGGAGAAUGGAAUUCCUGGUGGAGCGGUGGAAUGCGCAGAUAUCAGGAGGAACACCAGUGGCGAAGGCGGUUCUCUGGGCCUUUCCUGACGCUGAGGAGCGAAAGCGUGGGGAGCGAACAGGCUUAGAUACCCUGGUAGUCCACGCUGUAAACGGUGGGUACUAGGUGUGGGGUCCAUUCCACGGGUUCCGUGCCGUAGCUAACGCUUUAAGUACCCCGCCUGGGGAGUACGGCCGCAAGGCUAAAACUCAAAGGAAUUGACGGGGCCCCGCACAAGCGGCGGAGCAUGCGGAUUAAUUCGAUGCAACGCGUAGAACCUUACCUGGGUUUGACAUGGAUCGGGAGUGCUCAGAGAUGGGUGUGCCUCUUUUGGGGUCGGUUCACAGGUGGUGCAUGGCUGUCGUCAGCUCGUGUCGUGAGAUGUUGGGUUAAGUCCCGCAACGAGCGCAACCCUUGUUCACUGUUGCCAGCACGUUAUGGUGGGGACUCAGUGGAGACCGCCGGGGUCAACUCGGAGGAAGGUGGGGAUGACGUCAAGUCAUCAUGCCCCUUAUGUCCAGGGCUUCACGCAUGCUACAAUGGCUGGUACAGAGAGUGGCGAGCCUGUGAGGGUGAGCGAAUCUCGGAAAGCCGGUCUCAGUUCGGAUUGGGGUCUGCAACUCGACCUCAUGAAGUCGGAGUCGCUAGUAAUCGCAGAUCAGCAACGCUGCGGUGAAUACGUUCCCGGGGCU